GAUUUGUGUUUGAGGAAAACUCGGGCAGAAAAAUCCUGCGUAAUGUCAUCGAAAACCCAUUGUUUUCAAAACGUUUUCCGUCCGAUCCACACUAAAACGCAAAGCCGGCGUUUUCAAAUCCCUCCCGUUUGAAGAGCGUUGUCGAAAAGCUACGAUUUCGUGACCGAUUUACAGUGUGACAAGUGCGGAAGAUAAGUUCAGUUCUCCCGCGUGGUGUAGACGGGGUCCCGCAAUCCCGCGUCUCCUCUGGGGAUUUGGCGCGAAGUUUAACACUCAUGCGCACUACAAUUCAUCGUGUUUGGCGCCAUCUUGCUUGGUUCUAGCUGUAUGGCCAUCCUUUUUGCUGCGAAAAGCGCGGUUUGUUACACCGAAAAAGUAGCGUGUUAGUGGAAAAAUGGUGAUUUGUUCCCUGCCCGAACACCAAAUGGACGGACGAAACGAAACAAGAACUUGGAAGGGAGAAUCUGGACCAAAGACUUGAUCUGCAGCAGGAAAGAUGACCAGCCAGUCAAAGCCAAUGCUUGCUAGGUUCUAAAUACAUCAACAUUUUAACGUAAGCUUGCAGGUAGAAAAUGUUAGGUGAUCUGCUACCAUGAUAUGCAGGUACACUGUAAAGGAUUAGGCUACAUGAUGCUUGGGUGACUGAUUCAUGAAAAAAUUCAUGGAUGUAAAGAUCAGUGAAGGAUUGCUGCACAAAUGGAGGAAUGUUGCUACAGGAACUACAUUAUUAGUGAAGCUUUGCUCGCCGAAUGAAGCUGUAGACAUAUUUAGUAAAUAAAUGCAAACUUGAUCGGUUUUCGAAUUAUAAAGUGUAUUGUGAAAAUCAACUGCGCUUUUGAAGAGAGCCUGAAAUUGAGUUCAAAAUAAACGAACUCUUCUGGUGGGAAAAAAUUUUUGCUUUAAAAUGAGUCUGAAAUCGUGUCGAAAAAAACUAACUUAAGUCUUUCGGCGGGGAAAAAAGUUGCGCCAAUGAAACGAGUCUAAAAUCAUGUCGAAAAAAAAAUAAGUCUUUUGGCGGGAAACAAAUUGCGCUUUUGAAACGAGUCUGAUAUCAUGU